rnacentral:pre_miRNA from 1 species
CAAGUACUCCCUCCGUCCGGAAUUACUUGUCAUCAAAAUGGAUGUGUCUAGAACUAAAAUACAUCUAGAUACAUCCGUUUCAAUGACAAGUAUUUUCAGACGGAGGGAGUACAAG